CAGCCGCCACGGGAAUACGAGGGGGGCAAGCGUUGUUCGGAAUUAUUGGGCGUAAAGGGUGCGUAGGCGGCUUGACAAGUCUUGUGUGAAAUCUAUGGGCUCAACCCAUAGUCUGCACGGGAAACUGUCGGGCUUGAGAAUGGGAGAGGUGAGUGGAAUUUCCGGUGUAGCGGUGAAAUGCGUAGAUAUCGGAAGGAACACCUGUGGCGAAAGCGGCUCACUGGACCAUUUCUGACGCUGAUGCACGAAAGCUAGGGGAGCAAACAGGAUUAGAUACCCCAGUAGUCCCUGUCUCUUAUAC
rnacentral:rRNA from 1 species